rnacentral:rRNA from 1 species
UCCAGACUCCUACGGGAGGCAGCAGUGGGGAAUAUUGCACAAUGGGGGAAACCCUGAUGCAGCGAUGCCGCGUGGAGGAAGAAGGUUUUCGGAUUGUAAACUCCUUUUAUCAGGGACGAUAAUGACGGUACCUGAAGAAAAAGCACCGGCUAACUCCGUGCCAGCAGCCGCGGUAAUACGGAGGGUGCAAGCGUUAUCCGGAUUUAUUGGGUUUAAAGGGUGCGCAGGCGGUCUGUUAAGUCAGCGGUCAAGCCCGGGGCCCACCCCCCGCCCCGCCGUUGAAACUGGCAGUCUCGAGUUGGAGAGAAGUAUGCGGAAUGCGCGGUGUAGCGGUGAAAUGCAUAGAUAUCGCGCAGAACUCCGAUUGCGAAGGCAGCAUGCCGGCUCCACACUGACGCUGAGGCACGAAAGCGUGGGUAUCGAACAGGAUUAGAUACCCCAGUA